rnacentral:lncRNA from 1 species
AAAAAGUAAGACCUUUUUGAUACUCCUUAUUACUCACACUAUUUGACAGAAUAGUAUUGAUAUUUCUUCCAGGAAAUGCAGAACAGUUCCCAAAUACCUGGCCAUUCAUACAACACAGGAAAUGAUACAGACAAAAAUGAAAGUCAAGUGUGGGCUGACAAAUGUCCACAUCCAGAGGUUAGGCAUUAUCUUCAUCCAACCUACACACCCAAUUCUGAACCACAACUUCAAUCAGAUAUAGAUUUGUCAAAAGAACUAGAAGAAGACAAAAUAUCAGAAUGUAAACUGGAAAAUGAGAGUUUUGAUAAAGAUGCAGAAAAUCAAAGUUUUAGUGUGUCUAAUGGACUGCAUGAAACUUCCGCAGAUGCUCUCCAUUCAUUCAACAUGGACAAUGGUGCAGAAAGAAAUGUAAUAGAGCAUCUAGAGAAAAGUAAGUAGUGCAUUGUAAAAUAUAGUUGUUGUAGAAACUGUAGUGCAGAACCCUAUCUCUUAUAAGUAGACAAAGAUCACUAAUCAAAUACG